rnacentral:rRNA from 1 species
CCUACGGGCGGCAGCAGUGAGGAAUAUUGGUCAAUGGGCUUACGCCUGAACCAGCCAAGUCGCGUGAGGGAAGACUGCCCUAUGGGUUGUAAACCUCUUUUGUCAGGGAGCAAUUGGCGCUACGUGUAGCGUUCUCGCGAUUACCUGAAGCAAAAGAAUCGGCUAACUACGUUCCAGCAGCCGCGGUAAUACGGAGGGUGCGAGCGUUAUCGGGAUUUAGUGGGUUAAAAGGGUGCGUAGGCGGCAUGCCAAGUCAGCGGUAAAAUCGCGGGGCUCAACCUCGCUACGCCGUUGAAACUGGCGUGCUUGAGUGGGCGAGAAGUAGGCGGAAUGCGUGGUGUAGCGGUGAAAUGCAGAGAGAUCACGAAGAACUCCGAUUGCGAAGGCAGCAUACCGGCGCCCAACUGACGCUGAAGCACGAAAGCGUGGGUAGCGAACAGGAUUAGAUACCCCGGUAGUC